GCUCCAGUGGCCUAGUGGUUAGAACGUCCGCCUAGGAUGUGAGAGGUCAUGGGUUCGAUCCCCGGUUGAGUCA